GACAGAGGGGGCAAGCGUUGCUCGGAAUCACUGGGCGUAAAGGGCGCGUAGGCGGGAUGGCAAGUCGGUCGUGAAAUCCUUCGGCUCAACCGAAGAACGUCGGCCGAUACUGCCGUUCUUGAGGGAUGCAGAGGAGAUUGGAAUUCCCGGUGUAGCGGUGAAAUGCGUAGAUAUCGAGAGGAACACCUGCGGCGAAGGCGGGUUGCUGGGCUGACACUGACGCUGAAGCGCGAAAGCUAGGGGAGCGAACGGG
rnacentral:rRNA from 1 species